rnacentral:rRNA from 1 species
UAUAUCAAGAGUUUGAUCCUAGCUCAGGAUGAACGCUGGCGGCGUGGAUAAGGCAUGCAAGUCAAGGGGGCCCGCAAGGGCAACCGGCAGACGAGGUAGUAAUAAGUAGGUACGAACCCAAAAGUCGCGAAUAGCUCGGCGAAAGCCGAGGUAAUACGCGAUGGUCUCUACGGAGUAAAGAUUUAUCGCUUUUGGAUCGGCCUGCUCGGUAUCAGCUAGUUGGUAGGGUAACGGCCUACCAAGGCAAUGACGCCUAGGGGACCUGAGAGGGUGACCCCCACCGAUGGGACUGAGACACGGCCCAUACACCUACGGGUGGCUGCAGUCGAGAAUCUUCCGCAAUGGACGAAAGUCUGACGGAGCGACGCCGCGUGGAGGAUGAAGUGCUUCGGUAUGUAAACUCCUUUUGCCAGGGAAAAAGUUAUUGAUUGUACCUGGAGAAUAAGAGGUUGCUAAACUCGUGCCAGCAGCAGCGGUAAUACGAGUGCCUCGAGCGUUAUCCGGAAUCAUUGGGCGUAAAGGGUGUGUAGGCGGUUAUGUUAGUCUCGUGUAAAAUUCCUCGGCUCAACCGAGGGCUCGCACAAGAAACGGCAUGACUAAGAGGAUGGAAGGGGUCUCUGGAACUCAUGGUGUAGCGGUGAAAUGCGUUGAUAUCAUGGGGAACACCAAAAGCGAAGGCAAGAGACUGGUCCAUUUCCUGACGCUGAAACACGAAAGCGUGGGUCGCGAAUGGGAUUAGAUACCCCAGUAGUCCACGCCCUAAACGAUGAUCUCUAGCUUUGAGGAGUAUCGACCCUCUGCGAGGCUAAGUUAACACGAUAAGAGAUCCGCCUGGGUAGUACGGCCGCAAGGUUGUUCCCCUUC